rnacentral:rRNA from 1 species
UACGGGGGGAGCAAGCGUUGUUCGGAUUUACUGGGCGUAAAGGGCGCGUAGGCGGUCGUGACAAGUCACUUGUGAAAUCUCCGGGCUUAACUCGGAACGGUCAAGUGAUACUGUCGGACUAGAGUACAGAAGGGGCAACUGGAAUUCUCGGUGUAGCGGUGAAAUGCGUAGAUAUCGGGAGGAACACCAGUGGCGAAGGCGACUUCCUGGCCUGUUCUUGACGCUGAGGCGCGAAAGCUAGGGUAGCAAACGGG